rnacentral:rRNA from 1 species
GGAUUAGAUACCCUGGUAGUCCACGCCCUAAACGAUGUCAACUAGCCGUUGGGUUCAUUUAAAGAGCUUAGUGGCGCAGCUAACGCGUUAAGUUGACCGCCUGGGGAGUACGGCCGCAAGGCUAAAACUCAAAGGAAUUGACGGGGGCCCGCACAAGCGGUGGAGCAUGUGGUUUAAUUCGAUGCAACGCGAAGAACCUUACCAGGCCUUGACAUCUAGCGAAGUUUCCAGAGAUGGAUUCGUGCCUUCGGGAACGCUAUGACAGGUGCUGCAUGGCUGUCGUCAGCUCGUGCUG